GGAACGGGAGGCCCCCUUUGGGACGGGGGCCGGGAAUUGUCCAGAUCUUGACCCUCUCGUAUGGGCGCAGUGCCGAGGACCCGACGGCACUUGUG
rfam:Shimia marina strain CECT 7688 genome assembly, contig: 0018